ensembl:lncRNA
GUCACUUUUACUGCUGUUUCGUCUCUAAGUCGUGUCCUUCUCUUUCACAACUCCAUGGACUGUAGCCCACCAGACUCCUCUGUCCGUGGAAUUUUCCAGUCAAGAAUACUGGAGGGGUUGCUAUUUCCUUCUCCACGGGAUCUUCCCCAACUAGGGAUGGAACCCACCUCUCGCCCUGCAGGCAGGUUCGUUACCGCUGUGCCACUGGUAAAGUUCAAGGAGGUCACUACUGCAGGGAAAAAUUCCCUCCCGACUGUUUAAAAAGUUCCUCGUAUCGAAUUCUUUCUGUUAAAGUAAACAGUGUGUUUUCUGUUUUCCUGACUGGACUCAUUGAUUUGGUAAGAGUUUAGGAAGGACAACAUUUUAAAAAGGGCUUAAUGUUAUCAGUGGGCUUCCCAGGUAGCACUAGUGAUAAAGAACCCACCUGCCAAUGCAGGAAACUAGAAACGCGGGUUUGAUCCCUGGGUCGGAAGAUCCCCUGGAGGAGGCAAGAGUACUGGAGUGGAGUGCACACAAUACCACUUCUCAAAACAAAAACUGAAGAGUUGGAGGAAGAUUUGAUGAGACAAGAUUCCAUAGGAUUUUAAAGGGCUUCCCUUGUGGCUCAGCUGGUAAAGCAUCUGCCAGCAGUGCUGGAGACCUGGGUUCGAUCCCUGGGUUGGGAAAAUCCCCUGAAGAAGGGAAAGGCUGCCCACUCCAGUAUUCUGGCCUGGAGAAUUCCAUGGACUGUGUAUAGUCCUCGGGUGGCAAAGAGUCAGACACAAGUGAAUGACUUUCACUUCUUUCACUAAAGCAGUUAAGUCCCUUUCUGGAUUUUAAAUACACACACACACUCUAAAGUGUCACUCAGCCAUAGCAAAGAAUGAAAUAUUGCCAUUUGCAACAACAUGGAUGAGCUUAGAGAAUAUUUACUAAGUAAGUAAAGACAAAAACAAAUAUGUGCUAUCACUUAUAUGUAGAGUCUAAACUAUAAUACAAAUGAAUAUAUAUACAAAACAGAAACAGAC